rnacentral:rRNA from 1 species
UAGUCCACACCGUAAACGAUGGAUACUAGGUGUAGGAGGUAUCGACCCCUUCUGUGCCGCAGUUAACACAAUAAGUAUCCCACCUGGGGAGUACGACCGCAAGGUUGAAACUCAAAGGAAUUGACGGGGGCCCGCACAAGCAGUGGAGUAUGUGGUUUAAUUCGAAGCAACGCGAAGAACCUUACCUGGGCUUGACGUCCCGACGACCGGCAUAGAGAUAUGCCUUUUCUUCGGAACGUCGGUGAC